rnacentral:rRNA from 1 species
AGCUGAGAGGAGCUUGCUUUUCUCAGCUUAGUGGCGAACGGGUGAGUAACGCGUGAGUAACCUGCCCUGAAGUGGGGGACAACAGUUGGAAACGACUGCUAAUACCGCAUAAGACCACAGCACCGCAUGGUACUGAGGGAAAAGGAUUUAUUCGCUUUAGGAUGGACUCGCGUCCAAUUAGCUAGUUGGUGAGGUAACGGCCCACCAAGGCGACGAUUGGUAGCCGGACUGAGAGGUUGAACGGCCACAUUGGGACUGAGACACGGCCCAGACUCC